rnacentral:rRNA from 1 species
CCUGACUCAGCGACGCCGCGUGGGGGAUGCCGGCCUUCGGGUUGUAAACCUCUUUCGACCUCGACGAAGCGGAAGUGACGGUAGGGGUAGAAGAAGCACCGGCCAACUACGUGCCAGCAGCCGCGGUAACACGUAGGGUGCGAGCGUUGUCCGGAAUUAUUGGGCGUAAAGAGCUCGUAGGCGGUGUGUCGCGUCGGCCGUGAAAACCUGCAGCUUAACUGUGGGCUUGCGGUCGAUACGGGCAUCACUGGAGUUCGGCAGGGGAGACUGGAAUUCCUGGUGUAGCGGUGAAAUGCGCAGAUAUCAGGAGGAACACCGGUGGCGAAGGCGGGUCUCUGGGCCGAUACUGACGCUGAGGAGCGAAAGCGUGGGGAGCGAACAGGAUUAGAUACCCUGGUAGUCCACGCCGUAAACGUCGAGCGCUAGGUGUGGGGGCCAUUCCACGGUCUCUGUGCCGGAGCUAACGCAUUAAGCGCCCCGCCUGGGGAGUACGGCCGCAAG